UACGAAGGGGGCUAGCGUUGUUCGGAAUUACUGGGCGUAAAGGGCUCGUAGGCGGCCAACUAAGUCACACGUGAAAUCCCCAGGCUUAACCUGGGAACUGCGUGUGAUACUGGAUGGCUUGAAUCCGGGAGAGGGAUGCAGAAUUCCAGGUAUAGCGGUGAAAUGCGUAGAUAUCUGGAGGAAUACCGGUGGCGAAGGCGGCAUCCUGGACCGGCAUUGACGCUGAUGAGCGAAAGCUAGGGGAGCAAACGGG
rnacentral:rRNA from 1 species